GUGCGCAGGUGGACUGGAAAAGAGGAAGGCAAACGCAGUGGCUAGGCGGAGACCUCCCAAAUCCCACGUCUCCCCGAGAAUCCCCGACGGGCUACAGACCUAGGGCAGCCAUAAGAAAAAACGUCAGCUACAUCUCGAGGGAGUGGGGUGGAGUGCGGGCGCUUGCUCUAGUCGAGCCCUGACAUCGAUUCUGCGGGGGCGGGGAGGAGUCGGCGCGGGGCUGGGGCUGGGAGGGGAGUUUAUUUAUUAGCCAGAUUAGCCAGCAUUAAUGGGGGAGCGGUGGCGGCCGGCGGCAGCAGGGACAUAGCUGGCAUAGCUGGCAUAGCGGCGGGGCCUCCUGCGGCGCGGGGCUCCGCGGCUUCAAAGGGGCUUAAAGAGGCCCUUGGUGGCACUGCCACGGCCCCGCGGGGGAGGGCGUGGGCGCGGGCGGCGGGGGAGAAGGCGGCCAUUGUGCACCGAGGGAUUAGGGCUCUGGCCUGGAAGGAAUUUUAAACUGCCGCGAGCCGGAGCCCCAGGACUCUCCUCCUGCCCCACCCCUGCCCUCCGGAGCACGCUGAGAAACACUCUGUCUUCCUGCUUUGAGGACAGCUGAAGUCUUGCCACUUCUUCUGGAUGCUCUGACCAUCAGUAAGCCACCUCAGUCUCACCCUCCGCAGAAUGCAGGCCCACUCCGUUGCUGAAGGGCCUCCUCCUUGGGCCAGGGCGCCUGCUUCUGCCAGUGGCAUCAUCACCCCACUCCUCAGCCGCCAGUCAUCAGAGACACGGUCUGACUUUGUUACCCCGGCUGGAGUGCAGUGGUGCAAUCAUGGCUCACUGCAGCCUUAACCUCCUGGGCUCAAGUGAUCCUCUCGCCAAGGCUAGGAUAAGUAGCUAGGACUACAGAUGCGCCCCAUCACGCCCAGCUAAUUUUACAACUUCUGUAGAGAUGGAGUGUUGCUGGGUUGCCCAGGCUGGUCUUGAAUUCCUGGGCUCAAGCGAUCCUCCUGUGUCCGGAAUUGGUGGGUUCUUGGUCUCACUGACUUCAAGAAUGAAGCCGCGGACCCUCGCGGUGAGUGUUACAGUUCUUAAAGACAGCGUGUCCAGAGUUUGUUCCUUCUGAUGUUCAGAUGUGUUCAGAGUUUCUUCCUUCUGGUGGGUUCGUGGUCUCGCUGGCUUAGGGGUGAAGCUGCAGACCUUCGCGGUGAGUGUUACAGUUCUUAGGGCGGCGCGUCUGGAGUUGUCUGUUCCUCCCGGUGGGCUCGUAGUCUCGCUGGCUUCAGGAGUGAAGCUGCAGACCUUCGCGGUGAGUGUUACAGCUCAUAAAGGCAGCGUGGACCUACAGAGUGAGCAGUAGCAAGAUUUAUUGCAAAGAGCAAAAGAACAAAGCUUCCACAGCGUGGAAAGGGAUCCCAGC
rnacentral:lncRNA from 1 species